CGGGGCGGGCGGAGGGCGGGAGGUACGCGAGGAACACCGUCCCGAAGCCGCCGUCCCCGAGCUUCCGCGCCGCGUCGAAGCCCGCGGUGGCGGCGCGCAGCUGCUCGUAGGUGAAGGACGGGCGGUGGUGGUGGAGCCCGUGCAGGCGGAGGAACGCCGCGGCGCGCGACGCCGCCGCCGGCUCCCGCGCCACCGCGCCGCGCGAGCGGAACCGGCGCACCGCGAUGGCCGCGCAGAGGUAGAGCAGGAGCAGCACGAGGAUCGACGCGGCGGCGGCCAGCGCCACGGUGAGCACGUUCGUGCCGCCGUGUUGCUGCUGCUGCCGCGGCGGCGGGUGGAUGUGCCGGCACGCGGCCGGAGGCGGGAGGCAGGCGGCGACGAGGAGGAGGAGCGAGAGGAGGCGGAGGAGAUGCGGCCGCAUUUCGGCGCGGGCGAGAUGCGCGAGGAGAGAGAGAGAGAAGGAUGCCGAGACGCGGCCGCGCAAGGCUACCACCACUCCACUACGGAGCGUGUGCGACACCUCUCGCUUUCACAUCAUCACAUGGCCGGCGGGCCAGGCGACGGAUCCCUCCGCUUUCGUCAGUUCAGGCUAUCCUUGUUUGGAAUGCCGAAAACCCCUCCCACGAGAUUAGUUCCUUUUUUUUCAAAGAGUGUCAUCACAAGUUCACCAAAUUAGCGGAUUAAUUGGU
rnacentral:misc_RNA from 1 species